GACGAACGCUGGCGGCGUGCUUAACACAUGCAAGUCGAGCGGAGCGGCGCACGGGUGAGUAACGCGUGAGUAACUGCCCCCCUCUCUGGGACAACAGUUGGAAACGGCUGCUAAUACCGGAUAGUGGGGGAUGACUCGGGUCCUAUCAGCUUUUUGUUGGGGUAGUGGCCUACCACGGCGAGGCCGGGUAGCCGGCCUGAGAGGGCGCCCGGCCACAUUGGGCUGGGAUACGGCCCAAACUCGUACGGGAGGCAGCAGUGGGGAAUAUUGCACAAUGGGGGAAACCCUAAUGCAGCAACGCCGCGGGCGGGAUGACGGCCUUCGGGUUGUAAACCGCUUGCAGCCAUGACGCGGUAGUGGCAGAAGAAGCACAGGCUAACUACGUGCCAGCAGCCGCGGUAAUAC
rnacentral:rRNA from 1 species